rnacentral:rRNA from 1 species
CCCUAUGGGGUGCAGCAGGCGCGAAAACUUCACACUGUGCGAAAGCACGAUGAGGGAAUCCCAAGUGCUUGCUCGUAAGAGUAAGCUGUUUUUAUGUCCAAAAAGCAUAGAGAGUAAGGGCUGGGUAAGACGGGUGCCAGCCGCCGCGGUAAUACCUGCAGCUCAAGUGGUGACCACUAUUAUUGGGCCUAAAACGUUCGUAGCCGGUUUAUUAAAUGCUUGGGUAAAUCGUGUAGCUUAACUAUACGAAUUCCGGGUAGACUGAUAGACUUGAGACCGGGAGAAGCUAGAGGUACUCCUGGGGUAGAGGUGAAAUUCUGUAAUCCUGGGGGGACCACCAGUGGCGAAGGCGUCUAGCUAGAACGGGUCUGACGGUGAGGAACGAAGCCCUGGGGCGCAAACCGGAUUAGAUACCCGGGUAGUCCAGGGUGUAAACGCUGCUUGCUUGAUGUUAGUUGGGCUCCGAGCCCAAUUAGUGUCGGAGAGAAGUUGUUAAGCAAGCUGCCUGGGAAGUACGAUCGCAAGAUUGAAACUUAAAGGAAUUGGCGGGGGAGCACAGCAACGGGUGGAGCGUGCGGUUUAAUUGGAUUCAACGCCGGAAAACUCACCGGAGGCGACGGUUACAUGAAGGCCAGGCUGAUGACCUUGCCUGAUUUUCCGAGAAGAAGUGCAUGGGCC